GAUGAAGAACGUAGCGAAAUGCGAUACGUAAUGUGAAUUGCAGAAUUCAGUGAAUCAUCGAAUCUUUGAACGCAUAUUGCGCUCUCUGGUAUUCCGGAGAGCAUGCUUGUUUGAGUAUCAGUAAACACCUCAACUCCCCUUUCUUUUUUUGAAAUGGGAGCUGGACUUGAGUGAUCCCAACGCUUUUCUCACCGAAAAGUGGCGGGUUACUUGAAAUGCAGGUGCAGCUGGACUUUUCUCUGAGCUAAAAGCAUAUCUAUUUAGUCUGCCUAAAAAACAGAUUAUUACCUUUGCUGCAGCUGACAUAAAGGAGAUUAGUUCUUGUGCUGACUGAUGCAGGAUUCACAGAGACAGCUUCGGCUGGCCUUUGUAAACUCGAUCUCAAAUCAAGUAAGACUACCCGCUGAACUUAAGCAUAUCAAUAAGCGGAGGA
rnacentral:misc_RNA from 1 species